GACGAACGCUGGCGGCGUGCUUAACACAUGCAAGUCGAACGGAAAGGCCCUGCUUUUGUGGGGUGCUCGAGUGGCGAACGGGUGAGUAACACGUGAGUAACCUGCCCUUGACUUUGGGAUAACUUCAGGAAACUGGGGCUAAUACCGGAUAGGAGCUCCUGCUGCAUGGUGGGGGUUGGAAAGUUUCGGCGGUUGGGGAUGGACUCGCGGCUUAUCAGCUUGUUGGUGGGGUAGUGGCUUACCAAGGCUUUGACGGGUAGCCGGCCUGAGAGGGUGACCGGCCACAUUGGGACUGAGAUACGGCCCAGACUCCUACGGGAGGCAGCAGUGGGGAAUAUUGCACAAUGGGCGGAAGCCUGAUGCAGCAACGCCGCGUGCGGGAUGACGGCCUUCGGGUUGUAAACCGCUUUCGCCUGUGACGAAGCGGGAGUGACGGUAAUGGGUAAAGAAGCACCGGCUAACUACGUGCCAGCAGCCGCGGUGAUACGUAGGGUGCGAGCGUUGUCCGGAUUUAUUGGGCGUAAAGGGCUCGUAGGUGGUUGAUCGCGUCGGAAGUGUAAUCUUGGGGCUUAACCCUGAGCGUGCUUUCGAUACGGGUUGACUUGAGGAAGGUAGGGGAGAAUGGAAUUCCUGGUGGAGCGGUGGAAUGCGCAGAUAUCAGGAGGAACACCAGUGGCGAAGGCGGUUCUCUGGGCCUUUCCUGACGCUGAGGAGCGAAAGCGUGGGGAGCGAACAGGCUUAGAUACCCUGGUAGUCCACGCUGUAAACGGUGGGUACUAGGUGUGGGGUCCAUUCCACGGGUUCCGUGCCGUAGCUAACGCUUUAAGUACCCCGCCUGGGGAGUACGGCCGCAAGGCUAAAACUCAAAGGAAUUGACGGGGCCCCGCACAAGCGGCGGAGCAUGCGGAUUAAUUCGAUGCAACGCGUAGAACCUUACCUGGGUUUGACAUGGAUCGGGAGCGCUCAGAGAUGGGUGUGCCUCUUUUGGGGUCGGUUCACAGGUGGUGCAUGGCUGUCGUCAGCUCGUGUCGUGAGAUGUUGGGUUAAGUCCCGCAACGAGCGCAACCCUUGUUCACUGUUGCCAGCACGUUAUGGUGGGGACUCAGUGGAGACCGCCGGGGUCAACUCGGAGGAAGGUGGGGAUGACGUCAAGUCAUCAUGCCCCUUAUGUCCAGGGCUUCACGCAUGCUACAAUGGCUGGUACAGAGAGUGGCGAGCCUGUGAGGGUGAGCGAAUCUCGGAAAGCCGGUCUCAGUUCGGAUUGGGGUCUGCAACUCGACCUCAUGAAGUCGGAGUCGCUAGUAAUCGCAGAUCAGCAACGCUGCGGUGAAUACGUUCCCGGG
rnacentral:rRNA from 1 species